AGAGUUUGAUCCUGGCUCAGAAUGAACGCUGGCGGCGUGCUUAACACAUGCAAGUCGUACGAGAACGCUUCAGCUUGCUGAAGCUAGUAAAGUGGCGCACGGGUGAGUAACGCGUGGGUAAUCUACCUCCGAAUUGGGGAUAACGUUGCGAAAGCGACGCUAAUACCGGAUAAUAUCGAGAGGACUUCGGUUUUUUCGAUCAAAGGUGGCCUCUUCAUGAAAGCUACUGUUUGGAGAUGAGCCCGCGUCCCAUUAGCUUGUUGGUGGGGUAAAAGCCCACCAAGGCCGCGAUGGGUAGCUGGUCUGAGAGGAUGAUCAGCCACACUGGAACUGACACACGGUCCAGACUCCUACGGGAGGCAGCAGUGAGGAAUUUUGCGCAAUGGGGGAAACCCUGACGCAGCAACGCCGCGUGAGUGAUGAAGGCUUUCGGGUCGUAAAGCUCUGUCAAGUGGGAAGAACCCUUCUGGAGUUAACAGCUCUGGGAGCUGACGGUACCACUGAAGGAAGCACCGGCUAACUCCGUGCCAGCAGCCGCGGUAAUACGGAGGGUGCAAGCGUUAUUCGGAAUUACUGGGCGUAAAGGGCGCGCAGGCGGCCUGUUAAGUCAGUUGUGAAAGCCCGGGGCUCAACCCCGGAAGUGCGACUGAAGCUGGCAGGCUUGAGUAUGGGAGAGGGGAAGUGGAAUUCCUGGUGUAGCGGUGAAAUGCGUAGAUAUCAGGAGGAACACCAGUGGCGAAGGCGACUUCCUGGA
rnacentral:rRNA from 1 species